AGCUAUAAGAAUUUAUUUUUAGUUAAACCUGCCCAGUGAUUUUUUUAACGGCCGCAGUACCAUGACUGUGCUAAGGUAGCAUAAUAAAUUGGCUUUUAAUUAGAGUCUGGAAUGAAUGGAUUUUUAAAGUUAAGCUGUCAUAAUAAUAUUAAUUUUAAUUUAUUUAUUUGGUGAAAAUACCAAAAUUUUUUUAAAAAGACGAGAAGACCCUAAGAAUUUAUAUUUUUUUUUGUUGGGGCGACAAAAAGACAUUUUUAAACUCUUAGUUUAUUUUAUUUUAUAUAACGAAAUUUAUUAAGAAUAAACAAAUUACCUUAGGGAUAACAGCAUAAUUAGUUUUUUUUCUGUUUAUGACCUCGAUGUUGGACUAGAAUCUUUUUUAGCUAGUCGCUAAAAAAUUUUGUUCUGUUCGAACAAAUAAUUUCU
rnacentral:rRNA from 1 species